UUACGAUCAGUGUGAGCGACGGAGACGCCCGAAACGCAAGAGACUGACUCCCAUCCGAAUUAAUAGAUUCACAGUGAACUCACCACAGUCAGACGGUUUCAGUCUUUCGAAGCGAGCGGUUCUUUUAACUUAUCGCUUUUAUACACAACGUGCGCGUGGAUUUUUACAUACACAGUACAACACACUUAGUACAUUCUUCUAGUUUGUUAAUACCCGUUCUUCUAUCACCGUUAUCGGAAUUUAAUAGUCACCAAUCGCUAAUAUUUAGCCACUUUGUUGUUAAUAAUUAACAGUGAAUAUUAUAAAAUAAAUAUUAAUAUAGUGCGGUGAUUUAAUAAAACUGUGGUGAAGGUACUUACACCCUAUUUGUUUUAAAAUAAGUGAAAGUGCCAAAACUGUAGUGCAUUGACACAAAUCAAGAUCCCUUAAGCCGCUUCACCGAGUGACAUGUUCGCGAAAAAUAUUAUAUUUUCGUGUUUUUACUUAAUGUGCGCUACCAGUGACUUGUUAUCGUGUUGAUAAAUGUGCUACCAUCACUAAUAACCCCAGAAAAUCACCAAAAAACAGACCAACUUAUCGCCCAAUGAGUUAACGGGCCUGACAAUCCAAAACCAUAUUACCAUUUAGAGUGAAGUGGACCAAGUUAAAAUCGUUUAUCGUAAUUAACAAGCCAGCAAGCUGUACGGACACAGAGAAGAGGAUAUGUUGACUAUGGACGCGGAUUUAAAAGGUGGCAAUCUCCACGGGCAGAUACCGCCACAUCCACACCAAGGAGUCUCGCCAAUGAGCCACCACGCGAGCAUGUCUCCGUACGGGUCCUUGGGGCCGAUAGUCCACAGCCAGGCCCUUUCUUCAGGAAGUCCACCAAACUCAGCGGCCCUGAGUGCCUUAACUCUGCAUCACCACCAGCAGCAACAACACUUUGCGUCAAUGCAGGCGAUGCAGCAGCAGCAACAACAGCAACAGCAGCAGACGAUGCAUUCCCUGGCCCAGCACUCGCACCAGCAGGCGCAGCAGCCGCCCCAACCGGCCCAGCAGCAGCACCAGCCGACUAACAACAACAACAACAACAACAGCAAAAACAACAACGUCGACCGGGUGAAGCGCCCGAUGAACGCCUUCAUGGUCUGGUCCCGUGGACAGCGUCGCAAGAUGGCCCAGGAGAAUCCCAAGAUGCACAAUUCUGAGAUCUCCAAGCGGCUGGGAGCCGAGUGGAAGAUGCUGAGCGAGGCGGAGAAGCGGCCGUUCAUCGACGAGGCCAAGAGGCUCCGGGCUGUCCACAUGAAGGAACACCCGGACUACAAGUACCGGCCCAGAAGGAAAACAAAGACCCUUCUCAAAAAGGACAAGUACCCGAUGGCGAACACCAACGCAGGUCUCAUCAACAUGGACCCCAGGCAGGUCAACCCUUCAAAUCCGGCCCAGCAGUCUCAAAUUCCGAGGGACAUCUACAACGGGUACAUGCCCAAUGGGUACGUGAUGCACGAUGGCUCUGCCUAUCCGCAGCAUCCCUACGCUGGACACCUGGCCGGGUACCAGAGGUACGAAAUUCCUCCCCACAUGGCCGGCGGCAACUCCAGUCCUUUGAACAGCUACGUUAACGGAUAUGCCAACUACGGAGGCGCCAUUCCUGCAGGCUCGCCCUCUCCUUACCACUCGGCCCAACCUGGCUCCCAGAUGUCCAGCCACAGUCCCAGCGGGAGCAGCAUCAAGUCCGAGCCGACGAGUCCUGCCAGUGCGGGAAUCCACACUCCGACGCCGAUCAGCUCUGCACCUGGGUCUCAGGUUAAAAGAGAGUAUCUCGCUCAGCAGAAUCCUACUCAGGGUGGUGACAUCAGCCAAAUGAUCAGCAUGUACUUGCCUCCCAAUAAUCAGGCUGAACAGCGAAUUCAGCACAAUCCUGGAGGAGUUUACUCGCCCGGACCUGGGCCAUCGCCGGACUCUUUGAUAUCGCACCACACCGGAAUGCCAGUUUCACUCAAUCACCACCACAUGUCGGAGAGCGAUCGAAAAAUGUUGAAUCCUGAGACUGGCUGUUAUUCGGAUUCCGUUCGAGCCUGGGACUGGAAUGCGUCAAGCAACGGUCGCGUCCAAGAGUCUUGGCCCACGUGAGCGAUUCACGCGCAGCCCGAACCCCUAAGGCAACCAGGCCGGCGGAUCGCAACCCCCGACUGUCGCGUGCAUCACGGUACGAGUACACCGAGAAAUGUGUUCGGCAAUACCCAGAGUCACGAUCAUCGUCACCCUGAACCAAUAACUCGUGGCACCAAGAUGACCUUUGAAAACUGCCUACAAAUUACUGCACCAUGUCGAUCCUCAUUUCCAUUUGAUUUAAAUUUAUUAUUAUUAUUAUUAAUAAUUACGUGGUUAAUUGUAAUUGUUCUAAUGUAUCAUAUUACUAGACCACGUUUAACUGUAAAAAUAAAUCCUUCACUCACCGAAGACUCGAAAAGCGACAUGAAACGUCGUUCAAUUACUAAAAAUAAUUACAUAAUAACUAUCACUGUAUCAUAUUAAUAUUUAAGCAUUCGUUGAUAUUUCCAAUCGUUAAAUUUCGUAGAAUUUUGAAUUACUAUUAUUACAUAUAAAUAUAAAUGUAAUUAUAAAUAUUAUAAAUAAAGUAAUUAUAAAUUAUAAAUAAAUAUAUACUGUAAGAGUAAGUAUAUUUAUGUCAUGUGAUAUGUGAGUGUGGUGUGUGAGUUUAAUAAAUGGUCAAGACGCGCUGUAUAACUUCCGGAAUUUUUCCUUCUCUUAAUUAACUAAAGGGGAAAAUCUCUUUAGAAAUUUAUAAAGAAAAUUGAAGGUACUUUUUUUUAUAUUUUUAGAAAAUAUAAAAUAGAAAUGUUAAUUAUUUAUAGAGCCCUAAUUAUUUAUCGUAUGAAACUUUAAACGCGAUUAUAAAAUAGUACAAAAUUUGACCUUUUUUUUUAACGGGCUUAUGUAAUUUUUAAUUUUAUACUUUCUUAUGAUUUUUAAGGUUUAUUCUUCCCGUAAAUAUCUCAGAUAUGAAACAAUUUUUUUUUUCAUUUUAAAUCAAUAAAAAAAGAGUAACAAGUGCAGCACUUUUAAGGCGAGGUUUCA